GACGAACGCUGGCGGCGUGCUUAACACAUGCAAGUCGAACGGAAAGGCCCUGCUUUUGUGGGGUGCUCGAGUGGCGAACGGGUGAGUAACACGUGAGUAACCUGCCCUUGACUUUGGGAUAACUUCAGGAAACUGGGGCUAAUACCGGAUAGGAGCUCCUGCUGCAUGGUGGGGGUUGGAAAGUUUCGGCGGUUGGGGAUGGACUCGCGGCUUAUCAGCUUGUUGGUGGGGUAGUGGCUUACCAAGGCUUUGACGGGUAGCCGGCCUGAGAGGGUGACCGGCCACAUUGGGACUGAGAUACGGCCCAGACUCCUACGGGAGGCAGCAGUGGGGAAUAUUGCACAAUGGGCGGAAGCCUGAUGCAGCAACGCCGCGUGCGGGAUGACGGCCUUCGGGUUGUAAACCGCUUUCGCCUGUGACGAAGCGUGAGUGACGGUAAUGGGUAAAGAAGCACCGGCUAACUACGUGCCAGCAGCCGCGGUGAUACGUAGGGUGCGAGCGUUGUCCGGAUUUAUUGGGCGUAAAGGGCUCGUAGGUGGUUGAUCGCGUCGGAAGUGUAAUCUUGGGGCUUAACCCUGAGCGUGCUUUCGAUACGGGUUGACUUGAGGAAGGUAGGGGAGAAUGGAAUUCCUGGUGGAGCGGUGGAAUGCGCAGAUAUCAGGAGGAACACCAGUGGCGAAGGCGGUUCUCUGGGCCUUUCCUGACGCUGAGGAGCGAAAGCGUGGGGAGCGAACAGGCUUAGAUACCCUGGUAGUCCACGCUGUAAACGGUGGGUACUAGGUGUGGGGUCCAUUCCACGGGUUCCGUGCCGUAGCUAACGCUUUAAGUACCCCGCCUGGGGAGUACGGCCGCAAGGCUAAGACUCAAAGGAAUUGACGGGGCCCCGCACAAGCGGCGGAGCAUGCGGAUUAAUUCGAUGCAACGCGUAGAACCUUACCUGGGUUUGACAUGGAUCGGGAGUGCUCAGAGAUGGGUGUGCCUCUUUUGGGGUCGGUUCACAGGUGGUGCAUGGCUGUCGUCAGCUCGUGUCGUGAGAUGUUGGGUUAAGUCCCGCAACGAGCGCAACCCUUGUUCACUGUUGCCAGCACGUUAUGGUGGGGACUCAGUGGAGACCGCCGGGGUCAACUCGGAGGAAGGUGGGGAUGACGUCAAGUCAUCAUGCCCCUUAUGUCCAGGGCUUCACGCAUGCUACAAUGGCUGGUACAGAGAGUGGCGAGCCUGUGAGGGUGAGCGAAUCUCGGAAAGCCGGUCUCAGUUCGGAUUGGGGUCUGCAACUCGACCUCAUGAAGUCGGAGUCGCUAGUAAUCGCAGAUCAGCAACGCUGCGGUGAAUACGUUCCCGGG
rnacentral:rRNA from 1 species